CAGCCGCCGCGGUAAUACGUAGGGUGCGAGCGUUAAUCGGAUUUACUGGGCGUAAAGCGUGCGUAGGCGGCUUUUUAAGUCGGAUGUGAAAUCCCUGAGCUUAACUUAGGAAUUGCAUUCGAUACUGGGAAGCUAGAGUAUGGGAGAGGAUGGUAGAAUUCCAGGUGUAGCGGUGAAAUGCGUAGAGAUCUGGAGGAAUACCGAUGGCGAAGGCAGCCAUCUGGCCUAAUACUGACGCUGAGGUACGAAAGCAUGGGGAGCAAACAGGAUUAGAUACCCCAGUAGUCCCUGUCUCUUAUAC
rnacentral:rRNA from 1 species